GUCGAUUAGGUGUUGUUUUUACAUAUCAGUUUUUCGUAUUGAGGUGGGUCUGUUUUGAUCAUUCGAUA
rnacentral:tRNA from 1 species